CAGCAGCCGCGGUAAAACGUAGGGUGCAAGCGUUAAUCGGAAUUACUGGGCGUAAAGCGUGCGCAGGCGGUUAUAUAAGACAGAUGUGAAAUCCCCGGGCUCAACCUGGGAACUUCAUUUGUGACUGUAUAGCUAGAGUACGGCAGAGGGGGAUGGAAUUCCGCGUGUAGCAGUGAAAUGCGUAGAUAUGCGGAGGAACACCGAUGGCGAAGGCAAUCCCCUGGGCCUGUACUGACGCUCAUGCACGAAAGCGUGGGGAGCAAACAGGAUUAGAUACCCCGGUAGUCCCUGUCUCUUAUAU
rnacentral:rRNA from 1 species